GUCCAUAGCCAGAGAAUCGUCACUGAUCGAAGCUUACAUAAGGAGUGUUUACACUCAAGUAUGCUUUGGGUUGAAAGUCUCCCACCUGUCAAUGUGCGGAAACGUAGUGAGAUUUAAAAAUUUAAAUUGUUUAAAUCAACUCACUAAGAAUUGGGAAGAUUCUCUUCUCUUUUCUUCACUACCUGGGACUAUCUUUGUCCCGGUGCUUUUCGGUACUGGAGUCUUUAUAGACUCUAAACCAUAGUUAUGACGAUUGCUUUGUUUUCAUUGUUUUUCUCAUGGGAAAACACGAGAACAAGGUAACCCAAUGGAGCUUACUAUUCUUGGUUCAUGGA
rfam:Kazachstania africana CBS 2517 chromosome 8, complete genome